rnacentral:rRNA from 1 species
GAUGAACGCUGGCGGCGUGCCUAAUACAUGCAAGUCGAGCGAACGGACGAGAAGCUUGCUUCUCUGAUGUUAGCGGCGGACGGGUGAGUAACACGUGGAUAACCUACCUAUAAGUCUGGGAUAACUUCGGGAAACCGGAGCUAAUACCGGAUAAUAUUUUGAACCGCAUGGUUCAAAAGUGAAAGACGGUCUUGCUGUCCCUUAUAGAUGGAUCCGCGCUGCAUUAGCUAGUUGGUAAGGUAACGGCUUACCAAGGCAACGAUGCAUAGCCGACCUGAGAGGGUGAUCGGCCACACUGGAACUGAGACACGGUCCAGACUCCUACGGGAGGCAGCAGUAGGGAAUCUUCCGCAAUGGGCGAAAGCCUGACGGAGCAACGCCGCGUGAGUGAUGAAGGUCUUCGGAUCGUAAAACUCUGUUAUUAGGGAAGAACAUAUGUGUAAGUAACUGUGCACAUCUUGACGGUACCUAAUCAGAAAGCCACGGCUAACUACGUG